GGUUUUCGGAUCGUAAACUUCUAUCAGCAGGGAAGAUAAUGACAGUACCUGACUAAGAAGCCCCGGCUAACUACGUGCCAGCAGCCGCGGUAAUACGUAGGGGGCAAGCGUUAUCCGGAUUUACUGGGUGUAAAGGGUGCGUAGGCGGCCCAUUAAGUCAGAUGUGAAAGCCCGAAGCUCAACUUCGGGACUGCAUUUGAAACUGCUCAGCUAGAGUGCAGGAGAGGAAAGUGGAAUUCCUAGUGUAGCGGUGAAAUGCGUAGAUAUUAGGAAGAACACCAGUGGCGAAGGCGACUUUCUGGACUGUAACUGACGCUGAGGCACGAAAGCGUGGGGAGCGAACAGGAUUAGAUACCCUGGUAGUCCACGCCGUAACGAUGAAUGCUAGGUGUCGGGAGUCGAAUCUCGGUGCCGCAGCUAACGCAUUAAGCAUUCCACCUGGGGAGUACGAUCGCAAGAUUGAAACUCAAAGGAAUUGACGGAAUCUGAAUUC
rnacentral:rRNA from 1 species